rnacentral:rRNA from 1 species
CCUACGGGAGGCAGCAGUGGGGAAUAUUGGACAAUGGGCGGAAGCCUGAUCCAGCAACGCCGCGUGAGGGAUGACGGCCUUCGGGUUGUAAACCUCUUUCAGUACCGACGAAGCGCAAGUGACGGUAGGUACAGAAGGAGCACCGGCCAACUACGUGCCAGCAGCCGCGGUAAUACGUAGGGUGCGAGCGUUGUCCGGAAUUAUUGGGCGUAAAGGGCUCGUAGGCGGUUUGUCGCGUCGGGAGUGAAAACGCCGUGCUUAACACGGCGCUUGCUUUCGAUACGGGCAGACUAGAGGUAUUCAGGGGAGAACGGAAUUCCUGGUGUAGCGGUGAAAUGCGCAGAUAUCAGGAGGAACACCGGUGGCGAAGGCGGUUCUCUGGGAAUGACCUGACGCUGAGGAGCGAAAGUGUGGGGAGCGAACAGGAUUAGAUACCCUGGUAGUCCACACCGUAAACGUUGGGCGCUAGGUGUGGGGUCCAUUCCACGGAUUCCGUGCCGCAGCUAACGCAUUAAGCGCCCCGCCUGGGGAGUACGGCCGCAAGGCUAAAACUCAAAGGAAUUGACGGGGGCCCGCACAAGCGGCGGAGCAUGCGGAUUAAUUCGAUGCAACGCGAAGAACCUUAC